UCCAGACUCCUACGGGAGGCAGCAGUGGGGAAUAUUGGACAAUGGGGGGAACCCUGAUCCAGCGACGCCGCGUGAGUGAAGAAGUAUUUCGGUAUGUAAAGCUCUAUCAGCAGGGAAGAAAGGAAUGACGGUACCUGACUAAGAAGCCCCGGCUAACUACGUGCCAGCAGCCGCGGUAAUACGUAGGGGGCAAGCGUUAUCCGGAUUUAUUGGGUUUAAAGGGUGCGCAGGCGGCACGGCAAGCCGGCGGUCAAAUCGCGGGGCCCAACCCCGCCCAGCCGUCGGAACUGCCGGGCUAGAGUGGGCGAGAAGUGCGCGGAAUGCGUGGUGUAGCGGUGAAAUGCAUAGAUAUCACGCAGAACUCCGAUUGCGAAGGCAGCGCACCGGCGCCCUACUGACGCUCAGGCACGAAAGCGUGGGUAUCGAACAGGAUUAAAUACCCGCGUA
rnacentral:rRNA from 1 species